AUUGAACGCUGGCGGCAGGCCUAACACAUGCAAGUCGAGCGGAGCGGCGGACGUGUGAGUAAUGCCUAGGACUCUGCCUGGUAGUGUGGGAUAACGUCCGGAAACGGGCGCUAAUACCGCAUACUAUCAGAUGAGCCUAGGUCGGAUUAGCUAGCUGGUGGGGUAAAGGCCUACCAAGGCGCCGAUCCGUAACUGGUCUGAGAGGAUGAUCAGUCACACUGGAACUGAGACACGGUCCAGAUUCCUGCGGGAGGCAGCAGUGGGAAAUAUUGGACAAUGGGCGAAAGCCUGAUCCAGCCAUGCCGCGGGUGUGAACAAGGUCUUCGGAUUGUAAAGCACUUUAAGUUGGGAGGCGGUACCAACAGAAUAAGCACCGGCUAACUUCGUGACAGCAGCCGCGGUAAUAC
rnacentral:rRNA from 1 species